rnacentral:rRNA from 1 species
UACGUAGGGGGCGAGCGUUGUCCGGAAUCAUUGGGCGUAAAGAGCUCGUAGGCGGUCUGUCGCGUCUGCUGUGAAAACUCAGGGCUUAACCCUGAGCUUGCAGUGGGUACGGGCAGACUAGAGUGCGGUAGGGGAGACUGGAAUUCCUGGUGUAGCGGUGAAAUGCGCAGAUAUCAGGAGGAACACCGGUGGCGAAGGCGGGUCUCUGGGCCGUAACUGACGCUGAGGAGCGAAAGCGUGGGGAGCGAACAGG